AUAAUAAAAAUAAUAAUGA
rnacentral:miRNA from 1 species